GAGAAAGACAAGAAAGAGGGAGACAAGAAAGACAAGAAGAAGAAGAAGAAAGAGAAAAGGGGGGAAGGAGAUGAGAGCAGCAGCAGCAGCAGCUCCUCGGACAGCGAAUCUGAAGAGGGUCAACACGGUGACAAGAAGAAAAAGGAGAAGGAUAAAGAAUAACUUCUUAGGAGCCAGUGGGGGCCACCUUUGUGUUUCCUGCCUUAGCGAAGGAGAAGAGGAUCAGUUGUGCAAAAAAUGCAUCUGGAGUUGAGGUUGUUCCAUCCAAAUAAAGUAGUUUUGAGCAUUA